rfam:Lysinibacillus sp. BF-4 contig00039, whole genome shotgun sequence.
GGGGGCGUUACGGAUUCGACAGGGAUGGUUCGAGCUCUAACUGCGCGUCGGAGGUCUCGUCUUCGUCAUCAACGGAAGUUAUAUAAUAACUGGCAAACAACAAAACUUAGCUUUCGCAGCGUAAGCUCUUAAGCGCUCUACCUAUACAUCGCCCAUGUGUAUAACGUAGGGCCCAACUUUAGUGGGAUACGGUCGCUAGUGCAACUUGAGCUAGCGUCAAGAGACUUCCAAGUUAGCGUACAGGACGCCAGUUUAUCGGCAUAAUGCUACGUGAAAAGCAAAUAGGUAAACUACACGCGUAGACGUUGGAGUAACGGAGUCUUUGGACGCGGGUUCGACUCCCGCCGCCUCCAUAC